rnacentral:lncRNA from 10 species
UCACCGACUCACCCAGAACAACUUCCAGUCCUGCAAGCUGCAUUCAUGAGUUCUCUACCUUGGCAAAUGGCACCACCAUCCAUCUGACUGGACCAAGCACAAGCUUGAGAGCCACGCUUGACACCUCCUUUCCCUUCAGCACCUCCCUACCACCACAUUCAAUCUGUCCAGGAAUAGCAGGAGAUAGAAGGAACACAGGGGAGGCAGGAGAGCAAGGCUGUUGCCCUCAUCCGCUACCUCCUGGCUGACUGAGGGCGGAUGUGUUAGAUAAAUCUGAGAACUCAAAGAAGCGCAGAGGUUCUAUUCUGCAACCCAGUAAAGAUGAAGAGGAGGAAGCUAAUUCCCAGGUGCCUACACUGAGCUGACAGACAGAUGCCUCUCCCUGGUAGCUCCAGCACAGUAAAGCAGAGGCAGACUCCAAGGCUCCCUUUGCUGAGUUGCCUUUGCUUCCAGUGAAGGAGAACCCA